GCAGUCGAGCGGACAGAUGGGAGCUUGCUCCCUGAUGUUAGCGGCGGACGGGUGAGUAACACGUGGGUAACCUGCCUGUAAGACUGGGAUAACUCCGGGAAACCGGGGCUAAUACCGGAUGCUUGUUUGAACCGCAUGGUUCAAACAUAAAAGGUGGCUUCGGCUACCACUUACAGAUGGACCCGCGGCGCAUUAGCUAGUUGGUGAGGUAAUGGCUCACCAAGGCAACGAUGCGUAGCCGACCUGAGAGGGUGAUCGGCCACACUGGGACUGAGACACGGCCCAGACUCCUACGGGAGGCAGCAGUAGGGAAUCUUCCGCAAUGGACGAAAGUCUGACGGAGCAACGCCGCGUGAGUGAUGAAGGUUUUCGGAUCGUAAAGCUCUGUUGUUAGGGAAGAACAAGUACCGUUCGAAUAGGGCGGUACCUUGACGGUACCUAACCAGAAAGCCACGGCUAACUACGUGCCAGCAGCCGCGGUAAUACGUAGGUGGCAAGCGUUGUCCGGAAUUAUUGGGCGUAAAGGGCUCGCAGGCGGUUUCUUAAGUCUGAUGUGAAAGCCCCCGGCUCAACCGGGGAGGGUCAUUGGAAAACUGGGGAACUUGAGUGCAGAAGAGGAGAGUGGAAUUCCACGUGUAGCGGUGAAAUGCGUAGAGAUGUGGAGGAACACCAGUGGCGAAGGCGACUCUCUGGUCUGUAACUGACGCUGAGGAGCGAAAGCGUGGGGAGCGAACAGGAUUAGAUACCCUGCUAGUCCACGCCGUAAACGAUGAGUGCUAAGUGUUAGGGGGUUUCCGCCCCUUAGUGCUGCAGCUAACGCAUUAAGCACUCCGCCUGGGGAG
rnacentral:rRNA from 1 species